CCUACGGGAGGCAGCAGUGGGGAAUAUUGGACAAUGGGGGCAACCCUGAUCCAGCCAUGCCGCGUGUGUGAAGAAGGCCCUCGGGUUGUAAAGCACUUUCAGUGAGGAAGAACGCCUGGUGGUUAAUACCCAUCAGGAAAGACAUCACUCACAGAAGAAGCACCGGCUAACUCCGUGCCAGCAGCCGCGGUAAUACGGAGGGUGCGAGCGUUAAUCGGAAUUACUGGGCGUAAAGCGCGCGUAGGUGGCUUGAUAAACCGGUUGUGAAAGCCCCGGGCUCAACCUGGGAACGGCAUCCGGAACUGUCAAGCUAGAGUGCAGGAGAGGAAGGUAGAAUUCCCGGUGUAGCGGUGAAAUGCGUAGAGAUCGGGAGGAAUACCAGUGGCGAAGGCGGCCUUCUGGACUGACACUGACACUGAGGUGCGAAAGCGUGGGUAGCAAACAGGAUUAGAUACCCUAGUAGUC
rnacentral:rRNA from 1 species